UCGUAUGUAUUAUAUAUGUAUGUUGUUUUUAUCGGUAUAAAUCUAAUGUAUAAAGCUAUUAUCAAUGAAAAUGUAGUUUUGUGGUUGUGUAUGGGUGAAAAGUACAUGUACAAUGCUAUUACUGGUCAAAAUGUCAAGUAUAUUGCACAUGAUGAUACUGAGAGUUAGAUACGUUGCAUGCUAUUUACUACAAUUUUCCAAUUUUUAAACCUACCCCAUCCAAUAUAUAACUACUGCUCCUCUCUCCACCUUCCACUCAAGUCAUGUUGCCAUAGUUCAACCUAGAAAGCAAAGAAACGGUUAAAUACUAAAAUAAUCAUAAAAACAAUGACUUUUCACCAUAAAUUGGGAAACUGAUAGUUAAACUGAACUCAAGUAUUAUUUAAAAUACAAAAUCAGGGAAAUAAUUAAAAACAUUAUAACAUAGGGCAUUAUUGUAAAAAAACCCAACAAAUACAUUAGUUUAACCGAUUAAGUGGUGUCUGAUAUCCAAGAAACAAAUAAAAAGGUAAUAAUUAGGUUUACAUCAUUCAAAAACACAAAAAUCAAACCCAUCUUAUCGGGGAUACAUUGAUAUAUGUAUGAGAUGUGAGGGAAGUCAGGCAUGAUUUCUUAAUAAAGUGAUGGUGCGAAUCAAAUCAAAGCCUAAAUGACAACAAUCAAUGUAAUUUUGAUUUCCAACCAGAACACACCAGCAAAAGGUAUGGAAUUGCUAUCAUUCAAAAUUUGCAUGGUACAUAUUAUAGUCACUUUUAAGCGAUGUUAGGGAAGUCCAAUACAUUUGUUAGAAAUUAAAUCCAAAAUUUAUUCUUCUAAUUUCUAAUCUAGGUUUUCAAGUUCUCAGUGGCUUAACAAAAAUGUGUAUGCUUUAUCAUAAAUGUUAUUGUGUUAUUACGUAGUAUCUAAAUAAAAAUGCAAUUUUUCAUUUUAUCAUCAGACAACAUGGAAAAACAAUAUAGCUUUUUGAGAACAACAAUGAAUCCCAAAAUAUUUAAAAAGUUCAAAAUUUUAUAAAAAAAAUUAAGUAGAUUUUCAAAACAAGGCAACAUGUAAGUAAUGUAUUACUUAUUUGUUAAUAUUACCAAUUUGGCGUACAUUACAUAUUGUUUUUCUUUUGGUCAUACUCAUACAGGACCAAAACAAAAUGCAAUUUAUAGAUAAUUUUACUCUCCUAACAUUUCAUAUUUGGGUAUCUUAUAUUCCAUCUUUGGCUAUCUGAUAAUUAGCAUAAGCAAAUAAGUCAAAAAUUCUGCAAAUCAAACUAUUCUAACAGAUAUAAUGUAUCAUAGGUUGUUGGUUCUUAUAUAGGGUGUUUAUUCGGUUGCUCUAUAUGGUUUUUUCCCUUGGGCUUAUAAGAAAUGAAUGAACCUACAAAUUUGCAUAAUAAGUGGUUCAUACUUGCAACGGUUAACUUCGUUUACAAUAUAAUUUAUGCUAUACUGUGGAGAUAUGGUUUUCAGAGUUCUUACCUGAAAGAACAAUAAUCCUUGAAGUUUGAUUCCAUUCUUCUUGCAAUAAUAAGAAAAUAUUAACACCAAAAUAGUGAAUAAAUUCAAAAAACUCAAUGAUUAACAUGAAAACUGGAAAAAAUAUAUGCGGAUCCUAUCAAAUGUGGUGCAUCUAAGAAAAAUUUCAAGGUAAUCUUCAUUCUUCUAAGCUUAUGACAUGAUAUUAUAGGCUUCAAUAUUUUAAAUGGAAAUCAAUAGCCUCCCAAAAUUAUAAAAAUUAAAAAUUAAAAAUUAAAAAAAUAAUUAGGUAGAUAAGUAUUACUUCUUUGAAGGGGAACUAUAUUAAGCUUAACCCAAUUUCUAUCAUAAUAAACCUUGGUCUUGUUUUGCAUUUGAUAAAUAGGCACUUCUUCCAUUUGAAAAGGUAACGAGAUUAUAGUUUGAUGGAUUCCAUGUAAGUGUGGAUGUGGCUUGUUCUAGAAAACUGUAAGGAAAGCUAAGUACAUAGAUAGUCAUUUAUAUUUGAAAGAAGUGUUUCAUACGUAAUCACUUAUGUGUAAAGAUGUAUCGCAUUCUCUCCUAUAUUCCAUAAGUCAAUGGAUUAAAAGUCAACACCUGCAAAAUAAUGCUAGUAAGUACAUACAUAGUCAUUUAUUUAUAUUAAAAUAUGGAACAAUGGAGUCACAUUUUACAACUGAUCAAGUUUCACACCAAUCUCUAAAAUGGAUUCCUAAAUUGUUAUAAAAACAUUUAUAAUGAAAAAUAAAAUAACACAAUUCAAACCCAAACCAUGAUUAUUUUUCACUUACAGUUUUGUCCCCUUUCUUGAUGUCAAAAGCCAUGGCAUACCUAUGUCCUAGAACUUAAAGCAGAUUCAAUAUUAUAUUUUAGAAAUUGAAAAGGCUUCCACUCCAAAAGAAGGCUUCCUAUAUUCAACUAAAGCAAAUGCAAAUUCCUUCAUUCCUAUUCAACCAAUACUACAGCAAUUGAUAAAAGGAAGGCUUCACACAUAAAACUAAAGUGAUUCUAAAUCGAAACUGAAAACUAUUAGAAUUAUAGGUAUUGGGGAAUGAAAUUUAAUCAUCUCUUAGGUAUCAAUAAGAUAUGCUAAUUUUUUUGGGUGGAUGAUUACCUCUCCAGGUAUGCAAUGUCCUUCGUGGGCAAGAGCAACAUGGCACAUAAGUUUGUAACCAGGGUUAGACUAAAAAGUCAAUUUCAUGUUAAUUUAUGAAAAAUAAUAGCACCAUCUAUCAAUAAAAUAUCAUUUGUCUCUUAUAUACCAUAAAACAGAUAUGAGAAGUCAAUUAUUCAAUUUAGUUGUGGUUGGGGCAUUUUAACAAACACCUUAAUUACUUGCCACCGAUGCAUCCUUUCCUUUUUCUCAAGUCGAGCUUCAUAAUUCAGUGGACAAACAUCUCAUAAAUAUUUUCCCCUGUUGCAACCGUUCAUGAUAAUUAGAUAUUGGAAAAGAGGUAAAAUCAUUCGAAGCUAUUUUCCCAUGUGCAAGCAUUAAUAAUUACUAAUGGAAUUUGCAGAUAGGAGAAAAAACACCAGUCAAAUAGGUUUUAAGUUGGAAAGAAAAUCCAUCGAUAGUUUGAAGUAGAAAAAGUAAGGAGCAACUAAAAUCAAUUUAGGGUUCUUAUUUGAAUCAAAAUUAGUCACACAAAAAAUAUCUUCAUACAAAACUCAUAUAUUGAAAUCUUCAAAAUCAUUUAAAAAAAGAUUCAAACUUAUCCAAUAAAAGAAAAUGGGUUUCACAAUUCGCCUAAACAGAGAAAGAACUCACAAAGGUGUACGAAUCAACCAGGAAAUUGAAUAGGAUUUUCUAAUUGAAAACCACAAAAACCAAAUUAAUCGUUUCUAAUUUAACAAUUUAAGAAAUUGUAAAAUUAAUUUUGCAUCGCAGGGAUGAUGAUGGAUUUUGAGAAAAAAUUACUGAAGAAAAGGACGCGUAUCAAUAAGCAAAUUAUCAAAUUACCCUGUGAAAUCGGUAACGAUGAACCGUCUUCAAUGAUAACAUUUAUUUUGUAUGGAGGACUGUAGAAUCUCGCGGGAAGGUAAUUGGCGUGAUGGUAAGCAAUAUUUCCGAACAAGUAUCCCAUGGCGUUGGUUCAGAGAUGCCGAACGAGUCUCGCAAUUCCAUGGCGUCGGUUCAGAGAAUGGCGACAUGGCGUCCAAUGAACACGGUGAAAUUGG
rnacentral:lncRNA from 1 species